UACAGAGGGUGCAAGCGUUAUCCGGAUUCACUGGGUUUAAAGGGUGCGUAGGUGGGCAGUUAAGUCAGUGGUGAAAUCUCCGGGCUCAACCCGGAAACUGCCAUUGAUACUAUCUGUCUUGAAUAUCGUGGAGGUAAGCGGAAUAUGUCAUGUAGCGGUGAAAUGCUUAGAUAUGACAUAGAACACCAAUUGCGAAGGCAGCUUACUACCCGAAUAUUGACACUGAGGCACGAAAGCGUGGGGAUCAAACAGG
rnacentral:rRNA from 1 species